CAUUGGGUAGGGGAGCGUUCUGUAAGCCGUUGAAGGUGAAUCGUAAGGUUUGCUGGAGGUAUCAGAAGUGCGAAUGCUGACAUGAGUAACGAUAAAGGGAGUGAAAAACUCCCUCGCCGGAAGAUCAAGGGUUCCUGUCCAACGUUAAUCGGGGCAGGGUAAGUCGACCCCUAAGGCGAGGCCGAAAGGCGUAGUCGAUGGGAAACGGGUUAAUAUUCCCGUACUUCUUAUAAUUGCGAUGGAGGGACGGAGAAGGCUAGGUGAGCCUGGCGACGGUUGUCCAGGUCCAAGUAUGUAGGCUGAUGGUUUAGGCAAAUCCGGACCAUCUUAAGGCUGAGAUACGAUGUCGAGUUACUACGGUAACGAAGUCAUUGAUGCCAUGCUUCCGGGAAAAGCUUCUAAGCUUCAGGUUAUAAGAAAUCGUACCCCAAACCGACACAGGUGAUCAGGUAGAGAAUACCAAGGCGCUUGAGAGAACUCGGGUGAAGGAACUAGGCAAAAUGGUACCGUAACUUCGGG
rnacentral:rRNA from 1 species